CUGCGUGAAGUUGGAAUCGCUAGUAAUCGCGGAUCAGCAUGCCGCGGUGAAUACGUUCCCGGGCCUUGUACACACCGCCCGUCACACCAUGAGAGUCGGGAACACCCGAAGUCCGUAGCCUAACCGCAAGGGGGCGCGGCCGAAGGUGGGUUCGAUAAUUGGGGUGAAGUCGUAACAAGGUAAC
rnacentral:rRNA from 1 species